CUCGGAGUCAUAUCAGCAAGUCCAGAUUUGCACGAUGUUGAUAAAGACGACAUUGUGUCUGCCUGAAAGACGUAUUUUGAGACGGUACGCAGGAGCUUCAGAUAUACGCUGCCAGCCAACUCGUUGCUUGCGGAGGCUGCCAAGAAAUCUGCUCGGAGUCGGGCCAGAAGAAAGAGGCUGCUGAAAGCGAGGCAGAGUGUGCUAGCAGAUGAGGAAGUGGAACUCUGGAAGUCC